rnacentral:rRNA from 1 species
GACGAACGCUGGCGGCGUGCUUAACACAUGCAAGUCGAACGAAGUGGCGAACGGGUGAGUAACGCGUAAUCAACCUGCCCUUCAGAGGGGGACAACAGUUGGAAACGACUGCUACUACCGCAUCCUGAAGGUGGGGAUUGCAUCGGAUUAGCUAGUUGGAGGGGUAACGGCCCACCAAGGCGAUGAUCAGUAGCCGGUCUGAGGGGAUGAACGGCCACAAUGGGACUGGGAAACGGCCCAGACUCCUACGGGAGGCAGCAGGGGGGAAUCUUCCGAAAUGGAGGAAAGUCUGACGAAGCAACGCCGCGUGAGUGAUGACGGCCUUCGGGUUGUAAAGCUCUGUUAAGCGGGACGCGGUACCGGAAGAGAAAGCCACGGCUAACUACGUGCCAGCAGCCGCGGUAAUAC